AUGUGGAGGACUGAAAGAUGACA
rnacentral:piRNA from 1 species